rnacentral:tRNA from 1 species
AAAUAAGAAGCAAAUUAAUUGCAUUUAAUUUCGACUUAAAAAAUAGAGUACUAUACUCCUUAUUUA